GUUUUGUGAAAUCCAAUUUUAGUAGAAGCAGUACAAGUAGAAACGAGUGGUUUAAGUGCCACCAAUGUAGGAGAACCGACAGAAUAACAGUUCCUUGCACCAAGUGUAAAGAAAAAGUAUAUUGUAUCCAAUGCAUCAAGUAAUGGUAUCCCCAAUUGUCAAAAGAAGAUUUUGCAGAGCUAUGCCCAUUUUGAUGUGGAAACUGCAACUGCAACUUGUGGUUACAGUCCAACAUUAA
rnacentral:lncRNA from 1 species